AAUUGACAAUAGUUCUUUCUUACACAUAGUCUGAUUGGAUGAAACGUAUAGACUAAUGUAAGAGGUACCAUAGAGGGAAUACGCCGAAAUCGACUGUCGCAUAUUUCGCGUAAGAUAUGUCAUGCAGUGCACUUUCAUGCCUGUCAGGGACCCUCGUUGAAGGUCUGCAUAUUGCUGCUGUGUGGUAUGAAGUUUACCUUUGCUUUGUUACAUAUCGUUAAAUAUAAAGAGUUGGUAUUAUUAUAGAUUAGGCGUGAGAUAAGAGAACUAAUACAAGUUAUCCGAUGUAACUGAAACCUACUAAGCACAUAAUAUUAGAAGUCCCGUGAUAUAUACAAUGAUGAUAAUGAAUUGCUCCCUUUUAAGAAUCAGAAGUUAUAUUUGUCACUGAGUGAACUACCAUCCAAGAAACAAAUGCACUUGUUUCUGAAAAAAAAAAAACCAACAUAUUAAUAAUGUAGGCCUAAUCAAUCUCUUGCGGACUGUUGUCUCAUUGGCAAUCAUACCACAUUCUUCUUUUUUAUAUCUACUCAAGACUUUGUAUAGUUAACAAAUCCUUGGCCUUCUCUUAUAUAGUUUUAAAGAGACAAAAAAUAAGGUGUAUGUGAACUAGAAUCCAUACUUGGCCGCUUUUAAUUUUCCCUGGAGUUUGGUUAUUUUUGGUUAUUUAUCUUCAAGUUACAAUCGUUGUAUUCACAAGCUAUUUUAAACAAUGAUUAAAGUUUUUACUUAAAUCGUAAACAGCUACAUAUUAGUAUAUUAAAAAAACAUAAGUAAAAAUAAAAAAGGACUUAAUUUCAGAUGAAAGUAAUUUAAAAGAAUAAACAGAAAUAAAAAAAAAAUGUAUUUGAGUUUGAACCUAACUUUAAUAUACAUGAUAUUGGAUCUUCGCGAGCAAAACAAAAAUAUAUAAAUGAAUAUUUGUCAAAUUAAGAGACUUAUUGAUUCAGAUUGAUAUUGUAUGCCAAGGAUUUGUAUACUAUACAAAGCCUUGAGUAGGCCUACAGUAUUAAUAUGUUGUUGGUUUUUUGUCUUCUUUUUACAAACUCAAAUUUAUAAUUAUAGAAAGAUGGAGUUGUCUCUCAUUGUACGAAUCUAAGGCGUAUGCUAAAAGUAAGAAAAACAAAAGAUAUGAGGUAUCCAUUCAUGACGCAAAACCAGUACAUGCAAAGCAAAACAAAACACACAAAAAGCUAAGGAACAGUGAGCACUGUCACUUUCAUUUCAAAGUCGCAUGCAGUGAGGCUUUCAACAUGAAGCUGAAAGAAAAAAAAAACACAAAAAAACUCACUGCAAGUGUAAGACGACCCUUAGCAACGGAAUUCUUUAUUUAUUGUUUUGUUAGUUUUUGAUGUUAUGAAUAGUAGAUUUGUGAUUUAUCUACGCUUCGUUUCUUUCCUAAAAUAUCUGAAUGUGUAUCAGCUACAUUUUAUUUAGCAUGCAUACACGGAUAUUGUGUAUAUCAUACUAUGUAUGUAAAUGAGACAGUAACCCAAGGACACAAAAAAUCGUGAAAAAGCAUGUACAUUAUAUGGUAGCAUACCCUAUAAAUGUAUUACUUGGGAUACAAAAUGGUAUAUAUAUAUUGAUAUUGAACAAAAAGGUAAAACAUGCUACACAGAGGAGCAAGUGAUCAGUAUGCUGGAGUUUCUUAUUGACAACAUAUUUGUUUAAUUUGGAGGCAGACUUUUUCAACAGAUUUUUGAACGAACUAUGCGCCUCUUCUUGCCGACCUCUUCUUAUUUUCGAUACUUUUCAACAAAAAAAUAUCAAAGAAGCCAGAUCAUUUUAGUUUCAUAUUCAUAAUCAAAUAUAUUUAUGAUGGUCUUUCCAAUCUUUCUAAUCACAUUACAUAAACUGCUUGGUGUAUAUGAAUUAAUUAUUGACAAUUCAACAGAUACGCCAAAGACAUUUAUCAUGGUUGACAUCUUGAAUAAUCGCUUGUUCCAUGUUUCUUUGGAAUUUCAACCAACUGCUUCACUUUAUUGGAUACCUAAAUUAAAUUAAGUGUCAAUAAAAACAUCGCUUAAGGCAUAUAGCAGUUUGAAGAUUCACCCUAAAAAGAGGGACGAGACAGCAGAAGGACCCAUCGAAAAAGUAUAAAUCUGAAAAAUGUAUAAAAACACAUUUUGUUUUACGAUAGAAGGGUGGUGUCCCCCUGAAUACGCACCUGUUGAAGACAUGUACACACGGCAAUUUAAUCAGCGACAACUAUAUAUAUACUUGUAUUAUGUCUCUGAUUUCAGGCAGAACAAUCAUUGAAAUUUGGACAAUAUUUUAAACAGAAUUGUUUCCCUUCAUCUGAGGCAUAUGUUAGCGGUCUUUAAAACAGUUGUAGCACGGUAAGGUACUUUUAAAGUUGAAAUGUCAUGAACGUGUCAGUAUAGCAAAAUUGAUUUGAAUGUCAUCACUCAUUUCUUGUUUUUUCUUCUUCAGAUAGAUGCACAACAAGAACCAGUGCUGAUCAAAUUCCGUGUCUUGUGGUACACAUGGACUGGCGUAGUUAAUGGCGUUUUUGACGAAUUGAUGAAGAAAUCGGUGAAUUCCACCAUUUGCUUUCACCUAACAAAAUGCUUAAACAUGUGGCUCUGAAACGUAUUACCCAGCUUGAAAGGCCAUACACAUAACAUCCCUUCUGUUAUGUUCAAAAGAAGUAACCAAAUUACUUUCGGUAUUGAAAUAAACAUACAUAAGAAAUAAACGAAACAGGUCACUAGGAUUUUUUACGAUAUCGUUUAGAAGGAAACGUCGACCCACAGCAGAAGACCAUUUUCCAUUGUAAUGAGCCUCUAAUGAUAAUGGGUAGAGAUCAGAUAUAAUUAAGUAUGUGGAACACUGCUUGUCUACUCCACUGUCGACAAUUACAAGGGUGCAACGAUUACGUACGUGUCAUCAAAACAAUUUGAUUGCCUUAAAUAAAAAUUCUUACAAUAUAGCAAAAUGAAAAUAAAAAAAAACCCAUG
rnacentral:lncRNA from 1 species